UCCUGUAAAUAUAAAAAAAUUGGUUUUGAUCCUUGUAUUUUGUUUCAGUCCUUGUAAAAUUGAUUCAUAUUGAAUUUGGUCCUUGUAAUAUGUAGAAUAUUUGAUUUUAGUCCCUCAAAAUGAGGACUAAAAUGAAUAUUAUAGGGACCAAUUUCAAUAUGAAAUGAUUUUACAAGGAUUAAAACAAAAUACCAAAGACCAAAACCAAAUAUUCUAUAUCUGCAGGGA
rnacentral:pre_miRNA from 1 species